AAGGACUAGACUAGCUGCUGGUCAUCCUAUUUUCUACUAGUAAAACUCAUUUUUUUGUAUUUUUGACUUCACCAUGGUGUUUAAAAACACCGAAUUAGCUCAGUAGUUUAUUGUGGCCUUCAAAUCUUACUCCCUUUCUUCAUAAUGGCUUCCGAAGUGGUAAAAUUUACUUUUACCAAGAUCUUAAACAUUGCUCUAAAAAUUCCUAAAAAAUUAUAAAUAAAUUCUGGAAAAUCCUAUAAUAUUUCUAUAAUGCUAAUAUCCAUGUAAAGCUACAUUUUCCUACCUUCAUGAUUUUUGAUAAUAAUAAAUAUCAAUUUAAAUCUACUAUAAAUCCUAUUUUUUAUAUCAAUAACUAAAAUGACAUGAGGUUCUUUCUCAUGCUUCUUCUAACUACUAAUAUUUA
rnacentral:lncRNA from 1 species